CCCAGCUUUUACUCCUCUGAUACAAUCUCGAAGUUCUUGGGCUAUCCAUGGUGUUUCUGUUCAAUGGAUUGAGCAAUUGUUCUUACACCAAGCAAUCCAGCAUCUUCUAUGAUAUCUGAGGUAAAAUCAAGAUGGUACACCAAGUUGUAAUUCUUGACCAGUCGUCUGGUGCUGUCAAUGUCAAGGAAACCUGCAAAUAAACAAGCAAGAUAUAACAAGAGCUGUGAUUGGUUGAGCAGUUACAAAAUCAAUACUAUACCAGGGGAUAAUCAUACCUAGAAAUCGUUUUACACCAGUGGUUCAAAAUAACCCAAUCAUAGCUAAGCAUUCUCAUAACUAUAAUGGUAGCCAUGGAAACAGGAGGGCCACAUGUUCGAUAGCUUUAUUUAGGGUUAUAUGUAUCCCUUGUGAAAUAAAGAAUAUUGUAUCAUCUUA